rnacentral:rRNA from 1 species
GACGAACGCUGGCGGCGUGCUUAACACAUGCAAGUCGAACGGAAAGGCCCCUUCGGGGGUACUCGAGUGGCGAACGGGUGAGUAACACGUGAGUAACCUGCCCUUGACUUCGGGAUAACUUCAGGAAACUGGGGCUAAUACCGGAUAGGAAUCCUUGCUGCAUGGUGGGGGUUGGAAAGCUUCGGCGGUUUUGGAUGGACUCGCGGCUUAUCAGCUUGUUGGUGGGGUAGUGGCUUACCAAGGCUUUGACGGGUAGCCGGCCUGAGAGGGCGACCGGCCACAUUGGGACUGAGAUACGGCCCAGACUCCUACGGGAGGCAGCAGUGGGGAAUAUUGCACAAUGGGCGGAAGCCUGAUGCAGCAACGCCGCGUGCGGGAUGACGGCCUUCGGGUUGUAAACCGCGUUUAGCAGGGGCGAAGCUUGUGGUGACGGUACCUGCAGAAGAAGCACCGGCUAACUACGUG